UUAAACAGCUCAUUAUUCAAUUCAUCUUUUAAUAUAUAAUAUGAGAUUAUGAGUGCUUAACUAUCUUUGAGUAUACUGUAUAUCUAAAUUAAGGGAGUACGUACACAUUUUUCUCAUGUGUCAAAAUUUUGUCCACUUGAUUAAUUCAAGUUAAAAUGGCUGAAUGACGGAAGAGCUGGCGGCAAGUCUUGUUCCAACUUAAAAGUCCAUUAUUCUUAAUUUUGGUGAUGGCUAAGUCUACAAAGGUAUACAUAGUA
rnacentral:lncRNA from 1 species